rnacentral:rRNA from 1 species
UACGUAGGGGGCAAGCGUUGUUCGGAAUCACUGGGCGUAAAGCGCACGUAGGCGGAUUUGUAAGUCAGGGGUGAAAUCCCGGGGCUCAACCUCGGAACUGCCUUUGAUACUGCGAGUCUUGAGUCCGAUAGAGGUGGGUGGAAUUCCUAGUGUAGAGGUGAAAUUCGUAGAUAUUAGGAAGAACACCAGUGGCGAAGGCGGCCCACUGGAUCGGUACUGACGCUGAGGUGCGAAAGCGUGGGGAGCAAACAGG